rnacentral:tRNA from 1 species
GUCUCUGCAGCGCAAUGGAUAGCGCGUUGGACUUUCAAUCCAACGGUCGUGGGUUCGAAUCCUACCUGGGAUG